rnacentral:lncRNA from 1 species
CGUGGGGCUUGAACUCAUGAAUUAUGACAUCAUGACCUGAGCUGAAGCUGGGCACCUAACUGCCACCCAGGCUCCCUGUAGGUUGGCACAUUCUAAAAGGAAAUGCUAGACCCCCUAGCUAUGGAGGGCAUGCAAAGCUUCCAAGAUUGAAGCAAGCCUGUCUAGAGGAACGAGAGACAUUUGCAACCGAGUGCCUGCUCGUCCAGCUCACUCCGGGUGCCACGACCUUGUCGCAGCCUAUUCGCAGUCCAGAGAAACUGAAGGAAACUGAUUGCAUUAGCUCAGUCCAGCACCUUACAAUUUUUGCAACUGGUCAAAAGAAAGAGGGCUACCAUGCAGGAAUAAUUGGACCAUGCCUGGACAAGCACAAUGAGUUGGACGCAAGCCUUCAAUUCUAA